CCUACGGCGUGCAGCAGUGGGGAAUAUUGGACAAUGGGCGAAAGCCUGAUCCAGCCAUGCCGCGUGUGUGAAGAAGGCCUUCGGGUUGUAAAGCACUUUCAGUGGGGAAGAAAGCCUUGGGGCUAAUACCCUCGAGGAAGGACAUCACCCACAGAAGAAGCACCGGCUAACUCCGUGCCAGCAGCCGCGGUAAUACGGAGGGUGCGAGCGUUAAUCGGAAUUACUGGGCGUAAAGCGCGCGUAGGCGGUCUGAUAAGCCGGUUGUGAAAGCCCCGGGCUCAACCUGGGAACGGCAUCCGGAACUGUCAGGCUAGAGUGCAGGAGAGGAAGGUAGAAUUCCCGGUGUAGCGGUGAAAUGCGUAGAGAUCGGGAGGAAUACCAGUGGCGAAGGCGGCCUUCUGGACUGACACUGACGCUGAGGUGCGAAAGCGUGGGUAGCAAACAGGAUUAGAUACCCUGGUAGUC
rnacentral:rRNA from 1 species